rnacentral:rRNA from 1 species
CCGCACUCGCGCCCCUCUAUCCUCUUCCUCCCCCACCUCGCGCCGCCACCCUUGCCUCCUCCCGUCCCGUCGGACGUCUUCCUUCCCUCCCGCAGGCCGUCCUCCACCUCUUGCAUCUCAUCCGCAUCGAACCCUAGAAACCGAUGAGGAGGCCGAGCCGCCAUCCGCCGCCGGCCGUCGACACCUCCUGUUCGACCACAUAGAGGGAGCACCAGACUAUCGUCCUUGCGUUCGUGCUCCUCCAGGAAGAAGACGACCCAAGGAGACGAAUGAGUUGGGCUCGGAUGUUGCUGGCCGCCGGUUGUCUGCAACAGGAAUGCUCCCCUGCCACGACUUUCUCACAGGUCCUUCCUUUCGUAUCUUCAAGUUGCCGAGUUGAAGUAUCACCCGGGUUUCUGUGACGAUCUUCUGAGGUGGAAAUGCUCUGUUUCUACAAACUGCAGGCGCAAUCUCGUAUUGUAUUGUUAGUGGUGAUUCAGGCUAAUUUUUCUCUUUAUGCCCUGAUAUUUCUUUUUAAGUUAGACAUUACAAUCUUAGAAGCCUUCCAUGACAAAGAUAGCCCUUUGUAAAUUUUGCUUCUACAAGUAUACUUUUGAUGGCCAUGCCCCCUGAUUGUCAGUAUAUAUUUGGCUUAUGUCAGUAUACUCUACAUAAUAUGUCUGGAUGGGUGUUCUUAUAUGAGAUAUUUGUGGUAAGUAGUUAAAUCACUCCUACGGAGUGUAUAUCUAUUUUAACCUAGUUUGAGGAAUGACCAACCGGAUGGCUUCUGCAACUUUUGGUUCAAUUCUUGGUUAUUUCAUCCUCACCACAUGAUGUUUGUUGUUUAUUCUUCUUACCCGCAUCGUACAUCUGGUUAAUGUUGCUAUAUUAGCCAAUCUAUUUUGGCAUAUGCAGUGCAUCUCUACCUAUGUUUACGUGUCAUCCUUGCCUUACUAAGUUACCAUGGAAACACUCAGGUGUUGUUUUCUCCCAUGUAUAUAUGUAUAUGUAGAUGCCCUCUACUUUGGCACCAUCAUCUGGGAGGGGUUUGUACUAACGAUGGCCCUAUAAAGCACACCGACUUUGUUUUUCUUGAUGCACAAGUGCUUUUCUGGCCUUUCCUCUUUAUCCUCCUUGGUGAGUCUUACUUUUGUCUCUUUAACUGGGCCUUUAAACAUGUGGUUACAAUCGUAUUCGUAUGUUUUGGUGGUUCGGAAUAGUAGUAUCUAGCACCGUGAUAAUCCUGCAUACUGAUUAUCCCUUUUUUGAUAAUUGUCUUUAGCUUUGUAUAUCAAACGAUUCAACAUUUUCGUUUGUAUUCUAGGCAAUUUACUAAUUAUAAAAACAAAUCUUACAAUUGCAGUCUUACAAACAGUUCAUGAGGCUUCCUGCAAUAUUUCUUUUUUGCACGUAUCUAUGAAACUAUAGUUGUUCCGCUGUUUUCCCCAUGUUAGGCCAAGCGGACCAAUGGCAAUCUUAACCUCAUAGGUUAGUCUUAUUCCUUAAUUUAUUUCUUCAUUUUUCUGAUUUAGAAGUCAUGCAUUCUUAAAGAUUGAAAUGCUGGUCCAGGGAAAACAUCUGGUUAGUCGACAUGAACCUCAUGUUUGAUUGAGUUUGAAAUCUAAUGGAACAAAAACUAGUGAUGUAUAUAGUUGAAUUAAAGUAUGGAGAACCCCAUUCAGUUUGAGGCAAUAAAUAAGGUCCCAUAUUUGAUAAAUUUGCUUGAUUUCUCAUGUUACUUACUGUAGCUCUUAAAUAAGAUCUUGAGAUGUAAUUUUAGAAAAUAGUUGGUACUCACAUGUUUGCUUUCCCUGCUACCGUCUUGCUUUCCCUGCUACUCACUUUCUUUCUUAAUAGUGUAAUUGUCUUUGCUUCAUCUGUAUAGAUGCUAGCUAUUUUAUUAUGAGUUGCUGCUACAAGAGAACUAAUGGUUGAUUGCUAUAUUCACCCUUCCUCACUUUCAUCUAUAUAUGUCGUUGCUUUUUCAUUCUUGCUGAGUGGGUCAAUUACAUUUGAUGAACAAGCUGCAUAUUCCUUUUUAUACCAUUGUGCUCUAUUUAGUUUUGCUUCCAUCAACCAAUAACUGAUUGGGUGGCAUGCCAUGAAAAUGGCGAAGAAAAGCAGUGUGUAAAAUAUUAGAAAGAAAAGCAAAAAGGUCCAUGGAAAAUAUUAAACUUCUCCCUGUUUUAUUUAUAUCGGCAAGAACUUGGGCAUGAUUCCUUCUUCCCCUGAAUACUAAGCUUAUUUAUUUUCUUGGUGUUAGAUUACUAAUGUGGAGAAAUAUAAUUCUUAUUGAUGGUUGCUCGAUGGCGUUGAGCAUCAUUAAAUGAAACCUAGAGGUGGAGGGGUUUGGAUGAUCUGUAGUCAAAGGAUACCAUCGAACAAGUGGAUGCGCAAUGGCGCAAGGAGGGUCUCCCCGGAGCAGAGGUAGAGGAUGUUACCAGUUGCAUCUCUGACCUAAAGCCCACCUUGGCAUGGAUGUGACCAGCGUUGAUCCCCAACAUUGGCAAGCACUCUUUUUCGUCAGGACUGUACUCAUUCAGGGGAAAGUUUAAUUAGGACUUCGAAACCUCUUUUGUAUCCUUAGACCCAGGUAGAUUGUAGAGAAAAAGAGAAAUUUAAAUAAAUUGCCCCUUGCACACUAAUUCUUAGAUCCAGGUUGAUUGUUAUCUCUUCAUUAUAUCAUUAUUACUCGCUCCUUCCUA